rnacentral:rRNA from 1 species
AGUGAACGCUGGCGGUAGGCCUAACACAUGCAAGUCGAACGGCAGCACAGUAAGAGCUUGCUCUUACGGGUGGCGAGUGGCGGACGGGUGAGGAAUACAUCGGAAUCUACUUUUUCGUGGGGGAUAACGUAGGGAAACUUACGCUAAUACCGCAUACGACCUACGGGUGAAAGCAGGGGAUCUUCGGACCUUGCGCGAUUGAAUGAGCCGAUGUCGGAUUAGCUAGUUGGCGGGGUAAAGGCCCACCAAGGCGACGAUCCGUAGCUGGUCUGAGAGGAUGAUCAGCCACACUGGAACUGAGACACGGUCCAGACUCCUACGGGAGGCAGCGGUGGGGAAUAUUGGACAAUGGGCGCAAGCCUGAUCCAGCAAUACCGCGUGGGUGAAGAAGGCCUUCGGGUUGUAAAGCCCUUUUGUUGGGAAAGAAAAGCAGCAGGUUAAUACCCCGCUGUUCUGACGGUACCCAAAGAAUAAGCACCGGCUAACUUCGUG